CUUUAUGAUAAUGCAAAACAAGAAGGGGUUUUGGGUUUCAUUUUUCUGAAUCGGAUUGAAUGGUACUGGUGAUCAGCAUUGUGAGUGCUCUUGAAUAAUUACCAAUUUUCCUUUCAGUCCUAUUUGUAUCGCCCAAAUAUGAUUAUUUAAUUAGGAUUGAGUUUGAGGUUCUAUCCCUUUUUCUCUCUCUUUCCAGUUCCAUGUGUAUGGGAAGCUGUAAUAAAUAUUGAGUCAUGUAUUAAUAUUCUUAUUAAUUAAUCGUUUUCUUUU
rnacentral:misc_RNA from 1 species